rnacentral:rRNA from 1 species
UACGUAGGUGGCAAGCGUUGUCCGGAAUUAUUGGGCGUAAAGCGCGCGCAGGCGGCCUCUUAAGUCUGAUGUGAAAGCCCCCGGCUCAACCGGGGAGGGCCAUUGGAAACUGGGAGGCUUGAGUAUAGGAGAGAAGAGUGGAAUUCCACGUGUAGCGGUGAAAUGCGUAGAGAUGUGGAGGAACACCAGUGGCGAAGGCGACUCUUUGGCCCAUAACUGACGCUGAGGCGCGAAAGCGUGGGGAGCAAACAGG